UACAGAGGGUGCAAGCGUUAAUCGGAAUUACUGGGCGUAAAGCGUGCGUAGACGGUUAUGUAAGUCAGAUGUGAAAGCCCCGGGCUUAACCUGGGAGUGGCAUUUGAGACUGCAUAGCUAGGGUGCGGAAGAGGGAAGCGGAAUUUCCGGUGUAGCGGUGAAAUGCGUAGAUAUCGGAAGGAACACCAGUGGCGAAAGCGGCUUCCUGGUCCAGCACCGACGUUCAGGCACGAAAGCGUGGGGAGCAAACAGG
rnacentral:rRNA from 1 species